UACAGAGGGUGCAAGCGUUGUUCGGAAUUACUGGGCGUAAAGGGUGUGUAGGCGGUUGUUUAAGUUUGGUGUGAAAUCUCCCGGCUCAACUGGGAGGGUGCGCCGAAUACUGAAUGACUAGAGUGCGGGAGAGGAAAGUGGAAUUCCUGGUGUAGCGGUGAAAUGCGCAGAUAUCAGGAAGAACACCCGUGGCUAAGGCGGCUCUCUAGUACGGUACUGACGCUGAGACGCGAAAGCGUGGGGAGCGAACAGG
rnacentral:rRNA from 1 species